GAAAUGCGAUAAUUAAUGUGAAUUGCAGAAUUCAGUGAAUCAUCGAGUCUUUGAACGCACAUUGCGCCCCCUGGUAUUCCGGGGGGCAUGCCUGUCCGAGCGUCAUUGCUGCCCUCAAGCACGGCUUGUGUGUUGGGCUUCCGUCCCUGGCAACGGGGACGGGCCCAAAAGGCAGUGGCGGCACCAUGUCUGGUCCUCGAGCGUAUGGGGCUUUGUCACCCGCUCCCGUAGGUCCAGCUGGCAGCUAGCCUCGCAACCAAUCUUUUUAACCAGGUUGACCUCGGAUCAGGUAAGGAUACCCGCUGAACUUAAGC
rnacentral:misc_RNA from 1 species